AGUCAGCACUUGCAAUUUUCUCCUAAUGAGUGGAGUAUGUUAUUUACCCUUUUAUAACUGGAAAAGACUUUGUUUCCCUGAACCUUGACUUCAUGCUGGCUUUCCUGGAGGAGCUGAACCAUGCCUCAUUCUCUGUUAUUCACAGCAGUGAGACCCUCUUACUUCCAUUUGACAUAAACAAAGGGUUAAAAAAUUCUGAGACAUCUUACAACUGUUAGAAACCAUUUCAAAGAAAGCUUUUUGCCCUGAAUACAGCUUCUUGAAAAGUAAGCAUAAAAAGACAUUGCCAUUUUAGCAGCAUCUUUUGAACAGGACUCAAUCUGUGGUAUAAAUUGUAAAGUUCUGAGGUAAGGUCCUGUGCUACCUACAUAUUUAUUUAUUUAUUUUCAACUCCUGGAGUUUGCAUUUUUCUUUCUCCCUGUCCUGUUAGAGUUACAUAAAGAGCUUGGUGGUUAAAUCUCUGAAUAUAGCUUCAAUUACAGAUAGCUG